rnacentral:lncRNA from 1 species
GGGGGACUGUUCCGUGGUUACACAGUCAUUUCAUUCUCUUAUUUACACUGUAAUAUUGCAUUACCCUCUAAUUGUCGCCUAUACUUUUCACUCUCCAAAUAUGAAAGACAAAUAUUGAAUCCAUUUGGAGUUGCAGCUCUCUCAGGCGGAACGGGCGGGCGGGGAGAGCCCUUUCGGCGUGUUCGUGCUGCCAUCUACUGCUCGCACACCUGCCAGCGGCUUCCUCAACCCACAAACUUUGCCCUGUUUUCAUCGCUCGGGAGUAAAGUCCGUGGCAAACAAUGGGAGAUGCAGAUAAACAGGAGCAGCCUGGCUGAUGUCGCCAGCAGCACACGGAGCUCGCCUUACCGUUCUUUGUGAGCUCCUUUUUCUUCACUGGAGCUGUGCUCCGUGCUCCGUCCUCUUCGCAGAAUCCAGCUCUAGAGACUGGCUCAGACAGAAUUCUGCUCCAUCUCCCAGCUUCUGGGCCAUGUGUCCUUUGGAACUGGGGUUCACCACGUAGCUGAAUGUAAGCACCUGAAGUCUGCAACUCCGUUCAGCGGGAGAAAACCGACAACGUAAGUGCUGCAAUGCUGAACUAAAGUCACCGCACCUUUCUCUGAAGGGUCAAAGCUGAACAGCAUGUUCUUCACACAAGGAAACAGGCUUCGAGAGGAACAAUUAUAUCUGACAUGACGCUAACCAAGAAUCAGAGCAUCAACAUACGGAUUCCUCUCUGCUCUUGAUUUCUUUGCUAUCUGACACCAUCGUGUAGUACUGCCCUUUUCAUGAUACAGGCCUUGCAGAGGAUAUGCAAAGAACUGUAAUCUAUAAGUCAUAGAGUCUUAGAGUAGGAUCACAAGGCAUCUGUAGUACUCCCUGAAGGCACACACCAGUGAUACUCCCUACGCACACACACACACACGCACACACACGCACACACACUUUGCCUGUUUUGCCAAAUUGGUUUCGAUGACAUACAAGCAGAGGAGUGGUAUGGUGCAAGGUGUUGAUCAGCAGAGCCUUUGGGAACUGGCAGAGAGACACAUUCAUCUCUCUGAGAUCUCUGGGUGUCACUCCAUCUUUAAGUGUUGCUGUUUCUGAUUCAGCACAAUGAUGCUAGCCACACCUGUGGGAAGCAGCUGUGACAGCUUUUGGCUCCCAAGAGACUUCAGCCUAGCUGGUCACCCUGGUAGGCGCCUGACGCCUGCCUUUCUCUUACUGCUGGUGGUCUGAGUUUGAAAGUCCACAGAGAUUCUCUUGGCACGUUUGAACAACAUCGUCACAUAAACAGAACAAUAUAUUUAAACAUAUUUAGCAGGAGUGUUGAAAACUGUUGUGACACAUUUGUAGUACGUUCCGCUUUGCCAGUGCAACAUCCACAUCACUGCUGUGAUUGUGAUCAUUCAUUUUUUAAUCCAAUAGUCACUUCCACUUCCACUUGCAAGAUACGUUAAUGCACUAUGAUACAGUGCCCUAACGCAGCAUACACUAGCUGCGUGCAUUUAACCUGCGUGUUGCUC